rnacentral:rRNA from 1 species
GACGAACGCUGGCGGCGUGCCUAAUACAUGCAAGUCGAACGCACAGUUUAUACCGUAGCUUGCUACACCAUAGACUGUGAGUUGCGAACGGGUGAGUAACGCGUAGGUAACCUGCCUGGUAGCGGGGGAUAACUAUUGGAAACGAUAGCUAAUACCGCAUAAUAUUGAUUAUUGCAUGAUAAUUGAUUGAAAGAUGCUAUUGCAUCACUACCAGAUGGCCCUGCGUUGUAUUAGCUAGUAGGUGAGGUAACGGCUCACCUAGGCGACGAUACAUAGCCGACCUGGGAUGGUGAUCGGCCACACUGGGACUGGGACACGGCCCAGACUCCUACGGGAGGCAGCAGUAGGGAAUCUUCGGCAAUGGACGAAAGUCUGACCGAGCAACGCCGCAUGAGUGAAGAAGGAUUUCGGAUCGUAAAGCUCUGUUGUAAGAGAAGAACGGGUGUGAGAGUGGAAAGUUCACACUGUGACGGUAACUGACCAGAAAGGGACGGCUAACUACGUG